UGGUUGAUCCUGCCAGUAGUGUAUGCUUAUCCCAAAGACUAAGCCAUGCAUGCCUUCGAAUAAGAGGUGCAAUUCUCUCUGAAUCUGCGAACGGCUCCGCAUACCAGUUGUAAACCAGGGCGAGCACGCCCAGUGCUUUUGGGCCUGUCUACUGCGGUUUCGGCUGCAGCGGGUGGGUUUGGGGUGCUGGGCUAUAUGGAUAACCCCGGUAAUCCUGAGGCUAAUACAUGACAGUACUCCCUACCGACUGGGCUCACUUCGGUGGUAACCUAGAAGGUUGGGGAUGUGCAAUAUGGCAGGCGUAAACAGCUACCCAGCCAGCCAGUUAUCCAGGAGAGGUUGCACGUUCAGACCAUAGUAGCCCUGUAAUGGGGCGGCACGGCUGGGGUUUCUCCGGGAGCCUCAUCCACGUCUAUGGCUCUCGCAAUGUGCUUCUGACCUAUCAACUCGAUGGCAGCGUAAGGGACAUGCCAUGGUUACAACGGGUACAGAGGAUUAGGGUUCGAUCCUGGAGAGUGGGCCUGAGAGAUUGCUCAUACUUCUAAGGAAGGCAGCAGGCGCGCAACGUUCCCCUUGGGCAAUGCUUGAGGGCGUUACGGGUCAUAUUAAUACCUGCCCAUUGGGUGGGUAAUUAAAAUGGGUCUGUUGUAAACAGGCUUUCGAGUAACAAUUAGAGGACAAGUCUGGUGCCAGCACCCGCGGUAAUUCCAGCUCUAAUAGCAUACGUUAAAGUUGUUGCAGUUAAAACGCUCGUAGUCGGCAAACGAUCCCCCCAUGCAGAAGCUGGAGACCUGGUCCUGCUGCUCUCCCCAGAGCGCGCCAGGCGACUGGCCGACGCGGAAGGUGAUCAACAGUAUCCUUGGCGUGCUUAACAGCUCCCCCUGUCGGUCCAAUUUGGGCUGGUGGGGAUCAGUGGGCUGCUAUCCUCUACAAGGCAGUAUUUGGGAAAACAGUUACUGGUCUACGCCUCAAAACGUGCGGUCCAGCUUGCUGCCCCUAAUACUCGCCCUGCCACUGGGUACCUGUUACCAUGAUUAAACUAGAGUGCUCAAUGCAGGCCGCUUGGUCUCGCAUAGAACAGCAUGGCAUGAAAAGCAUAUCGGCAGGUGGCCUCCCUCAGGUUGGGGAGCGUUUGAAAAGGGGGCUGCCUGUCACCAGUUGGUUAAAGGGAUGUUCAAGAGUGACCGAAUUCCUGGGCGAGUGGUGAAAUACGUUGACCCUAGGAAGUCGACCAAUGGCGUAAGCAGUCAUCAAGGGCAUUCCCGUUGAUCAAGAGCGAAAGUUAAGGGUUCGAAGACGAUCAGAUACCGUCGUAGUCUUAACUAUAAAUGCUACUGACCAGGGAUAGGGCAAUGUCCAUCUCGACUCCCUCUGGAUCUUAGAGAAAUUAGAGUCUUUGAGUUCUGGGGGGAGUAUGGUCGCAAGGCUGAAACUUAAAGGAAUUGACGGAAGGGCACACAAAGAGUGGAACCUGCGGCUUAAUUUGACUCAACACGAGAAAACUCACCAGGUCCUGAUACAUGGAUGAAAGACAAGCUGAUAGACUUUUCUCAAUUACGUAAGUGGUGGUGCAUGGUCGUUCUUAGUUCGUGGAGUGAUUUGUCUGGUCUAUUCCGUUAACGAACGAGACCCCAACGUCCUAAAUAGGGCUCGGUUGCGUAUGGGCUUGUGGUGUAGUCCUUCUCUGGCUUUCGGGUUAGGGGGGGGCCUAUCGCUGCUCUGCCUAGCAGCCGGCUUCUCUUAGGAGCUUCUUAGGCGAAUCAAGGCCGAUAAGGUCUUUGAAAUGGGUUAAUAACAGGUCAGUCAUGCCCUUAGAUGUUCUGGGCCGCACGCGCGUUACAAUGGUACACACAACGAGUAUUCAUUACGAGUAUUCUCAUGGCCUACGGGCUAUGGUAAUCAGUAGUCUUUACCUUGACUGGGAUAGACUAUUGUAAAUAUUGGUCUUCAACGAGGAAUUUUUAGUAGUCGUGGAUCAACAGCCCACGACGAAUGCGUCCCUGCCCUUUGUACACACCGCCCGUCGCUGCUACCGAUUGGGUCUUACAGUUACGCAUUCGGAGGCUGUAGUAAUCGCCCCUUCGGGGGCCGAUAACUACUGGCUGAAGUUUUAAUUACUGUACGGCCUAGAGGAAGCAGAAGUCGUAACAAGGUAAUCGUAGGUGAACCUG
rnacentral:rRNA from 1 species